GGAGACUGUGGGGCACUCACGAGAAGCCUGGACGUGCUGGAUCCGAUUUGAGCAGGCAGGGCCGGGCAGGUGGGGCGCUCUAGCUCCGUUUCCGGGGAGGCACUUCACCUGCCUAACCUGCACUCAGGAAAGAACCCUGGCAACUAGGAUUAUAUUUUGUGACUCAGUCCUCUGACUACAGGUAACUAGGUAGAGUCACGAGCACCUCUUCAGCAAAGCCCACCUCCCUUUCCCGCUUGAUUCCGCGGCCAUCCUUAUCGAAGACCUUCCAGGUGAACAGGCAGCCAUCCUCAGCAGUAGUCAGCAGGUACUGAUCAUCAAAGCCAAUAGACAAGGUUUGAUUCUGGAGGUGAUGUCUGAGUCAAUAGAUAUUUGGAGUCUGGAGAAAAGGCCAUGCUGAUAAAUUUCUGAACUGGAAAGUCAAAAGUAUUAAGGACUUUGCGCUUCCGGCACGGGAUGGAUGACAGCUCAUAAAUGGUGAUGACAGGUUUCUCCUGCACAAUCUCGGAGAUGGCGAGGUACCGCCGAUUGGGGCUGAUGGACAAGGCCAACAUGCCCUGACUCUUGUCUGAGCCUGCAAACAGAGGGAAAAGGGGAUAGUGAGGGUAGGUUGUGCUUUCACCAAGACUCAAGCAGGCUCAGCAGUGACACUACUGACAGGGGAGAAAGGUGCACGAACACCUAGUUAGCAGUUCCUGGCCAUCCCUCCGUACAACUACUCCUGGGGGGUUAUGAAAAUGAUCAGAUGGGCACCUCACUGAGGAUGAGGUGGGAGAAAUCAAGGAACCCUUCGUGAAGGAAGAGGAGUUGGGAUGGAGGAUGGGAUAUGUGGUGGCAAAAGUUGGAGCAACGUUGUGGAGGUGACAAAGAGUAGAGAGCUGUGGGGGAAUUGGUAGCAGCAGGUAUUGCUGGAGAAAUGUAUGUGAGUCAGGAUGACCAAAGAUGGAUCCGGAAGAGAGGAACAGGUCCAAUCACAGAAGCUUUAGUGCUCUGAGUGGCCAGCACUCAACACUUUUAAAGGCUGGGAUAUUAACUCAGCCUCUCUCAUAUUUAGGUGAUCUAUGUGACAUUUUAGUUAUGAGAUGGAUGCAGAAGUCUGCUGAAGUGGUUUUAUGAUAAAGCUUUAUGUUUUCUUGAAGAUCAAGGGCAGAUGCAUUCUACUCCCUUCUCCUGGAAUAUAGAGGUAAUGUCUCAAGAUAUAGCAGUUUUCUUGCAUUCACGAGGUAAUGAGCAUGAAAAUGAAAGCUGUGGUCCUCUAGAAAGCAGACCCUGAGGCAAAGAUUAAAAUGUAAAUCUUUUUUUUCAGGAAAUUCAAUGAGGGCCACAUUGCAAUUUUCAUGGGCACUAGACACUUUUGUUUACAUAUGUCCCUUCCUCCAUAAAAUAGUACAAAUAUAUUUAUUUUUCUACACUAUUUAAAAAUACAUGCAAUCACACAUUUGAUGACUGCAUUAAUAUAAAGAUGAAUGUGACUCGGGCUGGAUUCACUCUUACAUAUUCAUUAUUGUUAUAUUUACUUUUUCUUAUAACAAAUUUAAAACAUGUUCAUGGGCUCCUAAAGGUAUUGUGAGCCCUAGGCACUGUGCAUAGUGGAAAAGUCUUCUGUGGGUGUGGGGACCUGGGCAGGGAGGAUGUGUGAAGCAGGAGAAGAUGCGCCAGGAAGUGAUGGGCUAGGUCCCCGUCUGAUGGACUCCAUGCUGGGAGGGUCACAGCAAGUUGCCCAGCACAUGGAACUUUCUGGAAGAGCUGCAGGCAAUAAGGGAAGCUCAGAGAAGAACCAGGUUUCGGGGUCAUUGAGAACUUUGCCGAUGAUUUUGGACUCCACCUGGGAAGCAAUGAAAGCCACUGAAAACUUUUAGGAAAGGUCAGACAGGUGUAUAGAAAGAGCCUCUGGCAGCCAGAUGGAAGGCAGCCCUGGAGGGGAUGAGAGUAGCCAGAGGUUAUUUGUCCAAGCGAGAGGUGAGGGUGCAAUACACUAUAAGGCGGCAGUAGGGGUGAAAGUAAUGGGAGGAGGGGAGAUUAGAGAAAUGCCAAUAGGUAGAACCAGUAGGAUUUAGUGACUGCUGGAGUGAGGGAGAGAAAUGAGAAUGAUUUCAGGUGACGGGGACGAGUGGGACCCCUGGGAUAGAAUUUAGACUGAGGGAGUUAGGGGUGACGGUGAAGACUAUGCCCCAUGACAGGCUUACACAGCCCAUUCACAUACUUAAUAUUUAUGUGUAUUUGCUCCCAGCUUUUUACAAUUUUUUUAAGCUUAAACCUUUAAUUCAUCUUGGACCCAUGAUGAUAAAAAAUAUGAAGUGAGGAUAUAAAGUGGUUCCCAUUUCUCAAACACCUAGUCAGUUGUCCCAGCACUAAUUAAUAAUGAAUGAAUAUAUUAAAAUUAUAUUUUUACAUAUAUAGCAUUGGGGUUCUAGAAUAUUUACGCUAGGACAACAUGACUUUUGUAGUCAUAUCUUUAUCAUGAGUUUGAAUAUUUGGCAGUUUGAUCUUUAGGAAACAGCAGGAGAAAAGAAGAAAUGAGAAUUGGAUUUUUGAUACAGUGCACAAGGUAUAUUGUGAGGCAUGUGGGUAAAGAGGCCUAAAAGUUAGAUAUGAUUCUAAAGCUCAGGGCAGAGGAUGGGACUAAAAACUCAGAUUUGAAGUAAAAGGCCUGGUGAGAAGCUAAAGCUGGGAGCAUAAGAUUGCCUAGAGAAGAUGAAGGAAAACUCACUCCUCCUGGGUUCCUUAUUUUAAGUGGUCUUCUAGCUAUAGCCCUUACCAGGGGAUGGAAUCCAGGGACCACCUGGCAUUUGCAUUGCAUUUUCUAUAUUACAUUCCAGGUACCCAGGACUCUGGAAUUAUCUGCCUAAAUGGUCCUGAGUCUACCGACAAGACCAGCAUUGGCUCUUUCCUAGGUCAGUCUCUACCAUCAGAGAAGUCUUAAAGAUGUUCAAAGGGUGACUGUUUACAGGAUAUAUGGGCAGCAUUUAAGUGUACAGCUGAGAGGACCCACACAUAUGAAGGGGGUCCUGCUGUUAUAAAAUGCAAUUCAGAGCAGAAGAGAUGUGGUAUAGGUAGGAAGUGUGAGAAUAUGAGCAUAAUAACUGGAAUAAUAAUCUCAACGGAUAUACUAAAUUGUAGGCUAGAUAUGGCUGAAAAGAGAUUCAAUGAAGCCAAGAGAUAAAUACAAAGAAAAAAGAGUUUAAAAACAUGGAGGGUUAGAGUUGAGAUGGUCUGGAGUUCUUGGAGAUAACAGAAUGAAAAAGGUACUAUAUUCCAAAGUGACAAUUGUUAAAAACUCUCUAGAAUCACUGCGCUGCGAGAUGCCUACCCUUGGAUCCAAGAAUCCCUAGGAAGAUUAGAAAGGGAAAAUAAAACCUACACAUAUAAUAAAAACAGACACAGAAAACUUCUUAAAAGCAUCCAGAAAAACAGACUGAUCAUCUAUAGAUAGAAGACCCAAUGGCUAAUGGCUUAACCACAACAAGAAAACAGAAGUAAAAAACAAUGCAGCAAAAACUGCAAUGUGCUGACAAAAAUUCUAUACCUGGCCAAAUUCUCUUUCAAAUAUGAGGAUGAAAUUAAAGUAAUUUUAAAUUAACAAAAUCUGGGAGCAUCUACCAUUAACACAUCAUCACUAACUGUAGAAGGAAAAUGAUUGCAACUGGAAUAUCUGAUUUCUAAAGAGUCAUGGUGGGAAAAAAAAGAAUCAUGGUGGGCAGAAUUCAGUAAACUUGAGAGCAAAUAUAAAUAAAUGUCUAUAUAAAACAAUGACUGAUUUAAUAUUAGAAAUCCAUGUAAUCUUAUGGAAAUAUAGAAAGUGCAUGCAAUAAAAUUCAGUAUGUGUUCAUUGGGGGGAAAAGCAUAGCAAUCUAGAAAAUUAAAGGAUUUUCCUUAACUUGAUAAAAGACAUUGACAACUGUCUGCAGUAAACAUCCUUUUGUGUAACAAAUAUUGAAAUAAUUCCUUUUAAGAGUAGAAGCAUGACAAGGAUGUUCUCUUUCAUUGUUCCUAUUCAACUUUGUCAGGAGGUGCAUGCCAAUACAGUGACACAAGAAAAAGAAAUAAAACCAUAAUUUUUUGUAGAUAAUAUGACACUCUACGUAGAAAACCCCCAAGAAUCUACAGAUUUGUUAUUAGAAUUAACAACAGUUGAGCAAAUAUGUUAGACAUAAAAAAGCCAACUAUAUUUAGUACGGUUUAUUCUAACAGAAUAAUAGCUGAUGUUUGGUAAAUCUGACUUCACUAAAACUAAGAAUUUCUGUCCAUCAAAAGAUAACAUGGAGGAGAAAAAUUCAAGCUCCAGAUUGGAAUGAUUAGUACAUAGACUAAUACAAAGUGUGUCAUUAAGUCAAUAAGGAAGUUACUAAAACAAAACAAAAAAACCCCAAGCCCCAUGAAGAACAAUAGAAAAAUGGAUUAAAAAGCUUGAAUGAGACAUAUAACACAAGGGUAAGUAGGAGUAGUCUGUAAAUAUGUGAAAAGAUACUAAUUUGCACUAAUAAUAGAGAAAGGCAAACUAAAAUCACAAUAAGAUACCUCUUCUCAAGCAUUAGACUAGCAAAAAAUGAGAAGUUGAACAUGACAAAGGGUUGGUAAAGUUGUGGAAGAAUGAGGACCCUUAUGCAUUGCUGGCACUAAGGGUCCUCAUUAAUUUUAUUCCUGGAUGUGAGUCCUAGAGAAUCUUUGCAAAGUGCAGGAACAUGUAUGAAUGCAAGAAUAUUUAUAGUGGUAACAUUUCUAAUAGCAAAUAGCUGUUAUUUCUCAGAAUGCCCCUGAAGCCUAGGGUGGGUAUAUAAAUAUAUAUUUGAGACAUUAUAUUCAGAGAUUGGAAUACUUGCUACAAUCAAAUGAACUCAGUUAUAUGUAUCAAGAUGCAUGAAUCUCAAAAGCAUGAUGUUGAACAAAAGAAGAAAGUUACAGGCUACAUACAUUAUGAUUCCAUUUAAAUAAAAUUGGAAAAUAGCAAAAAUAAAAAUAUAUUUUGCAUAAAGUCACACAUGUAUGUAAUAAAUGCUGUAUGGAAAAUAAUUACAAAAUUCAAAAUGGGGGUGUGUGGGGAUGGGAAAGAAGUACUGGAACUGGCAAUGUUCUAUAUAUUAUCUUGGAUGGUUCAUAGGUUUUCAUGUAAUAGUAAUUCUUUAUUACAUAUAUAGAGUAUAUACUUUUAUAUGCACAUAUCAUAAUAAAGCGUUCAACACAAUAAA